GAUGAACGCUGGCGGCGUGCCUAAUACAUGCAAGUCGAGCGAACGGACGAGAAGCUUGCUUCUCUGAUGUUAGCGGCGGACGGGUGAGCAACACGUGGAUAACCUACCUAUAAGACUGGGAUAACUUCGGGAAACCGGAGCUAAUACCGGAUGAUAUUUUGAACCGCAUGGUUCAAAAGUGAAAGACGGUCUUGCUGUCACUUAUAGAUGGAUCCGCGCUGCAUUAGCUAGUUGGUAAGGUAACGGCUUACCAAGGCAACGAUGCAUAGCCGACCUGAGAGGGUGAUCGGGCACACUGGAACUGAGACACGGUCCAGACUCCUACGGGAGGCAGCAGUAGGGAAUCUUCCGCAAUGGGCGAAAGCCUGACUGAGCAACGCAGCGUGAGUGAUGAAGGUCUUCGGAUCGUAAAACUCUGUUAUUAGGGAAGAACAUAUGUGUAAGUAACUGUGCACAUCUUGACGGUACCUAAUCAGAAAGCCACGGCUAACUACGU
rnacentral:rRNA from 1 species